UGGUGGAGCGAUUUGUCUGGUUAAUUCCGAUAACGAACGAGACUCUGGCCUAUUAAAUACGUCCGCGGCCUCCCCUCGGCCGCGCCGACUUCUUAGAGGGACAAGUGGCGGAUAGCCACACGAGAUUGAGCAAUAACA
rnacentral:rRNA from 1 species